rnacentral:tRNA from 2 species
GGGCGGUUAGCUCAGCUGGUUCAGAGCACCUGCCUUACAAGCAGGGGGUCGGGGGUUCAAAUCCCUCACCGCCCA